GACGGAAGGUGCAAGCGUUGCUCGGAAUCACUGGGCGUAAAGGGUGCGUAGGCGGUUUGUCGCGUCUGCUGUGAAAACUCGGGGCUUAACUCCGGGCCUGCAGUGGGUACGGGCAGACUAGAGUGCGGUAGGGGAGACUGGAAUUCCUGGUGUAGCGGUGAAAUGCGUAGAGAUCAGGAAGAACAUCGGUGGCGAAGGCGACGUCCUGGACCGGCAUUGACGCUGAGGCGCGAAAGCCAGGGGAGCAAACGGG
rnacentral:rRNA from 1 species